rnacentral:misc_RNA from 1 species
AAGUCGUAACAAGGUAACCGUAGGUGAACCUGCGGUUGGAUCAUUUACGAUCUGCACCCUGACAAAGGGUCGAUCCACACCUGUGCACCUUAAUGACGUGUUUGGCGGUAGGAUGGUCCGAACCCCGCAGCAAUCAGUAGAUUGUUAGUCGAUUACUAGGACAGUCCGCGUCGGAAGCCUGGGUCACCAUGCUCUGGCGUAUGCCGCCUGUGAAAUCUACAACUUACACUUUUGACUGAUCAUGAAAUCACGCAAGUGAUACAAACCUAAACAACUUUCGACAAUGGAUCUCUUGGCUCUC